AGCAUAGCGAUUUGGGAUAAGUCCCUUGGAAGAGGGCAGCAUGGAGGGUGAUACUCCCGUCUCUGCCCAGGUUGUCUGUGUGUACGACACGCUUUCUUUGAGUCGAGUUGUUUGGGAAUACAGCUCAAAGUAGGUGGUAAAUUCCAUCUAAAGCUAAAUAUAGGUGCGAGACCGAUAGCGAACAAGUACCGUGAGGGAAAGAUGAAAAGAACUUUGAAAAGAGAGUUAAAGAGUACCUGAAACUGUUGAAAGGGAACCGUAUCGUUUCCAGUGUUUUAUCCUGUGCAUAUUUCAUUAGCGGAGCAAUUUGCUGGUGCCCUGUGCAUGGGUGUGACGUCAGAGUCAGUUUGUAUGCUGCGGGAGAUGGUUAGUGAGGAGGUGCGUCACUUCGGUGAAAGUUAUAUCUCGCUGUCUAGUAGCCGUGGUUGAGACUGAGGUGCC
rnacentral:rRNA from 2 species